rnacentral:misc_RNA from 1 species
GAUGAAGAACGCAGCGAAAUGCGAUAAGUAAUGUGAAUUGCAGAAUUCAGUGAAUCAUCGAAUCUUUGAACGCACCUUGCACCCUUUGGCAUUCCGAAGGGUAUGCUCGUUUGAGUGUCAUUGUACUCUCACACUCUCCGAUCCUAUGGAUUCGGGGAGCGGUGGACUUGGGUGUUGCUGCCUUUCCUUGCGGCUCACCUCAAAUGCGUCAGUGCACCUCUUGGUUGGACAUAGUACGGCGUGAUAAGUGUCUUCGCCGGCACCUCGCAAGAGGGUGGCCGAUCGGGAGCUCUGCGCUUUCAAACCGUCUUCGGACAAUUUCUGACAACUUGACCUCAAAUCGAGUAGGACUACCCGCUGAACUUAAGCAUAUCAAUAAGCGGAGGA